GACGAACGCUGGCGGCGUGCUUAACACAUGCAAGUCGAACGGAAAGGCCCCUUCGGGGGUCCUCGAGUGGCGCACGGGUGAGUAACACGUGAGUAACCUGCCCUUGACUUCGGGAUAACUUCAGGAAACUGGGGCUAAUACCGGAUAGGAAUCCUUGCUGCAUGGUGGGGGUUGGAAAGCUUCGGCGGUUUUGGAUGGACUCGCGGCUUAUCAGCUUGUUGGUGGGGUAGUGGCUUACCAAGGCUUUGACGGGUAGCCGGCCUGAGAGGGCGACCGGCCACAUUGGGACUGAGAUACGGCCCAGACUCCUACGGGAGGCAGCAGUGGGGAAUAUUGCACAAUGGGCGGAAGCCUGAUGCAGCAACGCCGCGUGCGGGAUGACGGCCUUCGGGUUGUAAACCGCUUUCAGCAGGGGCGAAGCUUGUGGUGACGGUACCUGCAGAAGAAGCACCGGCUAACUACGU
rnacentral:rRNA from 1 species